UUUGUUCCUGGGAGUGUCUGAGAGCGUGUUGCCAAAGGAGGUUCACAUUUGAGUCAGUGGACCGGGAGAGGCAGACCCAGCCUCAGCCUGGGUGACCACAGUCUAAUCUACCUGCCAGCA